CGGAGAGGCGAAUGUGUUUGGAUCCUACCGCCAUGGAUGCCAAUGCGUAGAUCCGGGUCGGCGUCUGGAUCAAUGGAGAGCAGCAAGAGGUGGAUGGAGGUCAGGUAGGAGUGGAGCAGCCGGAUCCCUACCCAAACUUGGCGACAGGGGUGGCUAGAUGGAGGGGCUGGUACAUUCGCCAUGUGCGGGGUAGCUCUCUUCUCCUAUCUGCGCUCGACGGUGGACGGAGGUCAGGGAAUGGCAUAUGUCUUGUAAUAACAGGGAGAAAACUAGGUAUACUUUUGUUGGGGUAAGUGGCAGCCCGGGAAUCACCGAAUUCGCAGCUUCCGGUUCGGGACGCCUCGCAGUGUAAUUUUUAGAAUCGAUUCCUAGAAUCUAUGGUUGGUAGCUGACUGUUUGUUUGCGAUUCAGAUUUUCCGAAGAGUAGAAUCCCGGAAUCAGAAGCCGAAUCUCAAACAAAGGCC
rnacentral:lncRNA from 1 species